AGUGAACGCUGGCGGUAGGCCUAACACAUGCAAGUCGAACGGCAGCACAGUAAGAGCUUGCUCUUACGGGUGGCGAGUGGCGGACGGGUGAGGAAUACAUCGGAAUCUACUUUUUCGUGGGGGAUAACGUAGGGAAACUUACGCUAAUACCGCAUACGACCUACGGGUGAAAGCAGGGGAUCUUCGGACCUUGCGCGAUUGAAUGAGCCGAUGUCGGAUUAGCUAGUUGGCGGGGUAAAGGCCCACCAAGGCGACGAUCCGUAGCUGGUCUGAGAGGAUGAUCAGCCACCCUGGAACUGAGCCACGGUCCAGACUCCUACGGGAGGCAGCAGUGGGGAAUAUUGGACAAUGGGCGCGAGCCUGAUCCAGCCAUACCGCGUGGGUGAAGGAGGCCUUCGGGUUGUAAAGCCCUUUUGUUGGGAAAGAAAAGCAGCAGGUUAAUACCCCGCUGUUCUGACGGUACCCAAAGAAUAAGCACCGGCUAACUUCGUG
rnacentral:rRNA from 1 species